AACGAACGCUGGCGGCAGGCUUAACACAUGCAAGUCGAGCGCCCCGCAAGGGGAGCGGCAGACGGGUGAGUAACGCGUGGGAAUCUACCCUUCACUACGGAACAACUCCGGGAAACUGGAGCUAAUACCGUAUACGUCCUUCGGGAGAAAGAUUUAUCGGUGAUGGAUGAGCCCGCGUUGGAUUAGCUAGUUGGUGGGGUAAUGGCCUACCAAGGCGGCGAUCCAUAGCUGGUCUGAGAGGAUGAUCAGCCACAUUGGGACUGAGACACGGCCCAAACUCCUACGGGAGGCAGCAGUGGGGAAUAUUGGACAAUGGGCGAAAGCCUGAUCCAGCCAUGCCGCGUGAGUGAUGAAGGCCCUAGGGUUGUAAAGCUCUUUCACCGGUGAAGAUAAUGACGGUAACCGGAGAAGAAGCCCCGGCUAACUUCGUGCCAGCCGCCGCUGUAUGAC
rnacentral:rRNA from 1 species